AAAAAUCUUGAUGACGGAAUUGAUGAUGAGC
rnacentral:piRNA from 1 species